rnacentral:rRNA from 1 species
GNGGUGCUUCUUCUGUACCUACCGUCACUUGCGCUUCGUCGGUACUGAAAGAGGUUUACAACCCGAAGGCCGUCAUCCCUCACGCGGCGUCGCUGCAUCAGGCUUGCGCCCAUUGUGCAAUAUUCCCCACUGCUGCCUCCCGUAGGAGUCUGGGCCGUGUCUCAGUCCCAGUGUGGCCGGUCGCCCUCUCAGGCCGGCUACCCGUCGUCGCCUUGGUGGGCCGUUACCCCACCAACAAGCUGAUAGGCCGCGGGCCCAUCCUGCACCGGAAAACCUUUCCACCCCCCACCAUGCGGCAGAAGGUCCUAUCCGGUAUUAGACCCAGUUUCCCAGGCUUAUCCCGAAGUGCAGGGCAGAUCACCCACGUGUUACUCACCCGUUCGCCACUAAUCCACCCAGCAAGCUGGGCUUCAUCGUUCGACUUGCAUGUGUUAAGCACGCCGCCAGCGUUCGUCCUGAGCCAGGAUCANUNAAAAANNNN